GCCCCAUCCGCUCACCCUGUCUCCUCUGCCUGCAGCCUUUGUCUUCCUGGAGUCUUCACAGCCCUCGAGGACACACUGCCCCGUACACCCGGAGAUGGAUGCCGUGUACGAGCUAGCCCGUCAGAUGGACGUGGUCAUCAAGGACCUAAAGAGAUACCUGGAUAGGCACAGCUUGGAGACAUCUGAGGACAGCGACAGCUCCUGGACUACCGUCACGGCCAGUGAAGUUGAGUCCUGUUCAAGC